rnacentral:lncRNA from 1 species
AGUGUGUGGUGGUGCCACUAAACAUACACAUUUCCAAACUAUGAAGUGCAGGUUGUGUCAUUCAGCACAGGAGUGAAGUGAUUCUUAUCUGUCUCCCAUGUGUGUACCUUUCAGAUAACUCCACCAAAACCAGUGGCAUUACAAGGGUUCAACAGCAGCAGCAGUGGGAACAGGCCCAAGAGAGGCAGUAGAUUAUUCAGGCCAUUUGAGGUAUCUUCAGUCUUGGGCAGAGGAGCAUCCUGAAAAGAGUAUUCACGCCAAGAAAAAGAGACUAAUUUUAUUUUGCUGAAUCAUCAAAUCUCUCAGAAAAAAAUUACAAGCUUCAUCCUGCAAGAAACUACAGAUGGUCAGACCACAUAGGGGAAUUGCUCCUACACAGCAUUUGCCUGGCUAUCGACCUGAGUUUCCAUUGAAGAGGGGCACGAACAGCAUCAGCACAAAUUAAGUUCUCAAAAUAAAUA